GAUAUUCUGCCUUGUGCGUUUGGUUUAGUUUUUUAAAUCCAACACUUAUUAAAAGGGAUUUGUCGGCUGCUGCGGAUUGCAGACCUCCCGUCCUGCGGAAGAAGGGAGCGUGAAACAGCAGGGACAUUGCCCACCUGCUGUAUGCGGGUUUUUAUUGCUUCACCGACGGCAAGGCGGUUAAUUG
rnacentral:other from 1 species